UACGUAGGGUGCAAGCGUUGUCCGGAAUUACUGGGCGUAAAGCGUGCGCAGGCGGUUCGCUGUGUCCUGUGUGAAAGCCCCGGGCUUAACCUGGGAAUGGCAUGGGAAACUGGCGAGCUUGAGUGCGGCAGAGGGGGGUGGAAUUCCGCGUGUAGCAGUGAAAUGCGUAGAGAUGCGGAGGAACACCGAUGGCGAAGGCAGCCCCCUGGGUCGACACUGACGCUCAGGCACGAAAGCGUGGGGAGCAAACAGG
rnacentral:rRNA from 1 species